rnacentral:rRNA from 1 species
UACGUAGGGAGCAAGCGUUGUCCGGAAUCAUUGGGCGUAAAGCGCGCGUAGGUGGCCUCAUAAGUCCGCUGUGAAAGUCAAAGGCUCAAACCUUUGAAAGCCGGUGGAUACUGUGAGGCUAGAGUACGGAAGAGGCGAGUGGAAUUCCUGGUGUAGCGGUGGAAUGCGCAGAUAUCAGGAGGAACACCAAUAGCGAAGGCAGCUCGCUGGGACGUUACUGACACUGAGGCGCGAAAGCGUGGGGAGCGAACAGG